rnacentral:rRNA from 1 species
GACGAACGCUGGCGGCGUGCUUAACACAUGCAAGUCGAACGGAAAGACCCUGCUUUUGUGGGGUGCUCGAGUGGCGAACGGGUGAGUAACACGUGAGUAACCUGCCCUUGACUUUGGGAUAACUUCAGGAAACUGGGGCUAAUACCGGAUAGGAGCUCCUGCUGCAUGGUGGGGGUUGGAAAGUUUCGGCGGUUGGGGAUGGACUCGCGGCUUAUCAGCUUGUUGGUGGGGUAGUGGCUUACCAAGGCUUUGACGGGUAGCCGGCCUGAGAGGGUGACCGGCGACUGGGGGAUGGAGAUGAGGCACGGCCCCCAAGGGGAGGCAGAGGGGGGAAUUAUUGCACAAGGGGCGGAGGCCUGAGGAGGCAGCGGCGGGUGCGGGAGGGCGGCUUGCGUGUGGAACCCCGGUUGCGCUGGGGACGAGGGGUGGGUGAGGGAAAGGGGAAAAAAAGCACGGGCAAAGACGGGC